UACGGAGGGGGCUAGCGUUGUUCGGAAUUACUGGGCGUAAAGGGCACGUAGGCUGGCUGUUAAGUCGGUGGUGAAAUCCCGAGGCUCAACCUCGGAAUUGCCUUCGAUACUGACGGUCUUGAGUGCGGGAGAGGUGAGUGGAAUUCCCAGUGUAGAGGUGAAAUUCGUAGAUAUUGGGAAGAACACCAGUGGCGAAGGCGGCUCACUGGCCCGCAACUGACGCUGAGGUGCGAAAGCGUGGGGAGCAAACAGG
rnacentral:rRNA from 1 species